rnacentral:rRNA from 1 species
UACGUAGGGUGCAAGCGUUAAUCGGAAUUACUGGGCGUAAAGCGUGCGCAGGCGGUCUUGCAAGACAGAUGUGAAAUCCCCGGGCUCAACCUGGGAACUGCAUUUGUGACUGCAAGGCUGGAGUGCGGCAGAGGGGGAUGGAAUUCCGCGUGUAGCAGUGAAAUGCGUAGAUAUGCGGAGGAACACCGAUGGCGAAGGCAAUCCCCUGGGCCUGCACUGGCGCUCAUGCACGAAAGCGUGGGGAGCAAACAGG